rnacentral:rRNA from 1 species
GAUGAACGCUGGCGGCGUGCCUAAUACAUGCAAGUCGAGCGAACAGACGAGGAGCUUGCUCCUCUGACGUUAGCGGCGGACGGGUGAGUAACACGUGGAUAACCUACCUAUAAGACUGGGAUAACUUCGGGAAACCGGAGCUAAUACCGGAUAAUAUAUUGAACCGCAUGGUUCAAUAGUGAAAGACGGUUUUGCUGUCACUUAUAGAUGGAUCCGCGCCGCAUUAGCUAGUUGGUAAGGUAACGGCUUACCAAGGCGACGAUGCGUAGCCGACCUGAGAGGGUGAUCGGCCACACUGGAACUGAGACACGGUCCAGACUCCUACGGGAGGCAGCAGUAGGGAAUCUUCCGCAAUGGGCGAAAGCCUGACGGAGCAACGCCGCGUGAGUGAUGAAGGUCUUCGGAUCGUAAAACUCUGUUAUUGGGGAAGAACAAAUGUGUAAGUAACUAUGCACGUCUUGACGGUACCUAAUCAGAAAGCCACGGCUAACUACGU